AUUACAUUAUUUUGGUAUCAAAUCGUAUUUUAAAAUGCACGAACAUCACAAACAAACCUGGAUAGAAUUAAUCGAAAAUUACAGGAAAUUGCCUCUGCUAUGGGAUCGAAAGCACAAAGACUAUUCGGACAAGCGUUUGCGUGAGGAAGCCUAUGAAAAAUUGCUCAGAAUAUACAAAACAAUUGAUAGCAAAGCCACCUUGUUAAGUUUUAUGAAUAAACUUGAUAUUAUGAGAAUUACAUACAACAGAGAGAGAAAAAGGAUGAACGGAUGUAAAGCAGAGGGAGUAAUCUACAGACCAAAUUUAUGGUAUUUCAAUCAUCUAAGUUUCCUUGAUAAGGCACUGGAAAUGCCAGAGGAGAAAGAAAGAUAUUUUCGCUUCAAUAGGAAAACACCCAUAAUACACCACCGUCACUACCAAGCCAACUCCAUAUCAAGGUUCAAUCACCGCGCAUCCAGAACACAUUUAGCUUGCGGGACAUGGAAAACAAAAA